GCAGUCGUGCGGGAAAGGGCUUCGGCCCUAGUACCGCGGCAGACGAGUGAGUAACACGUGAGUAACCUGUCCUCGGGUCCGGGAUAACUACCCGAAAGGGUAGACAAUACCGGAUAAAGUCAUCGGACGCAAGUUCGAUGAUGAAAGGGGGCCUCUGCAUAGCAAGCUCCUGCCUGAGGAGGGGCUCGCGGCCCAUCAGCUAGUUGGUGAGGUAACGGCUCACCAAGGCUACGACGGGUAGCCGGCCUGAGAGGGUGGUCGGCCACGCGGGCACUGAGACACGGGCCCGACUCCUACGGGAGGCAGCAGGGGGGAAUCUUGGGCAAUGGGCGAAAGCCUGACCCAGCGACGCCGCGUGGGGGAAGAAGGCCUUCGGGUCGUAAACCCCUGUUCUGGAGGAAGAACUCCAGAUGGGUGAACAACCUAUCUGGACUGACGGUACUCCAGGAGAAAGCCACGGCUAACUGCGUGCCAGCAGCCGCGGUAAUACGCAGGUGGCGAGCGUUGCCCGGAAUCACUGGGCGUAAAGGGUGCGUAGGCGGCCGGAUAAGUCAUAGGUUAAAGCCCGGAGCUCAACUCCGGAAGGGCCUAUGAUACUGUCUGGCUUGAGGGCCGGAGAGGCUGGCGGAAUUCCCGGUGUAGGGGUGAAAUCCGUAGAUAUCGGGAGGAACACCGGUGGGGAAGCCUGCCAGCUGGACGGAUCCUGACGCUGA
rnacentral:rRNA from 1 species